rnacentral:rRNA from 1 species
AGAGUUUGAUCAUGGCUCAGGAUGAACGCUAGCGGCAGGCUUAACACAUGCAAGUCGAGGGGUAACAGGGGAGCUUGCUCCCGCUGACGACCGGCGCACGGGUGAGUAACGCGUAUGCAACCUACCCUUAACAGGAGGAUAGCCCAGGGAAACUUAGAUUAAUACUCCAUGGUUUCACGGAGUCGCAUGGCUUUGUGAAUAAAGUUCCGGCGGUUAAGGAUGGGCAUGCGUGCCAUUAGCUAGUUGGUGUGGUAACGGCGCACCAAGGCAGCGAUGGCUACGGGGUCUUAAAGGAUGGUCCCGCACACUGGUACUGAGACACGGACCAGACUCCUACGGGAGGCAGCAGUGAGGAAUAUUGGUCAAUGGGCGAGAGCCUGAACCAGCCAUGCCGCGUGCAGGAAGACGGCCCUAUGGGUUGUAAACUGCUUUUUUACGGGAAUAAAAGCAGCUACGUGUAGUUGCUUGAACGUACCGUAGGAAUAAGCAUCGGCUAACUCCGUGCCAGCAGCCGCGGUAAUACGGAGGAUGCAGGCGUUAUCCGGAUUUAUUAGGUUUAAAGGGUGCGCAGGCGGCCCGGUAAGUCAGUGGUGAAAGUUUGCAGCUUAACUGUAAAAUUGCCAUUGAUACUGUCGGGCUUGAGUUUGGUAGAGGUAGGCGGAAUGUGUAGUGUAGCGGUGAAAUGCUUAGAUAUUACACAGAACACCGAUUGCGAACGCAGCUUACUAUGCCAAAACUGACGCUGAGUCACGAAAGCGUGGGGAGCGAACAGGAUUAGAUACCCUGGUAGUCCACGCCGUAACGAUGAUCACUGGUUGUGCGCGAUACACUGUGCGCGACUGAGCGAAGCA